AAGGUCUUAUUUAGAGAGAGACUGGUCCUCUAUGUCCCCCUGAGAUAUUCUGAUCAUCAGAUGAUUUUAUAAUUACUGAUACCAUGGUCUGGGUGAAUACUUGAUUCUGAUUGGCUGCAGGUGAGGUGUAAGUAAGAUGAGACGAGAGUAAGUAAAGUAAGCCAGAGUGAAUAUGGUAAUAACACAAUAAACAUGAAUAGACAGUUUUUAACACUGCGGGGAUGUAGUGAAGAG